GUGAGUUGACCCUAAAUAGUUUCUGAUUUUUCUCAUUUAGUUUUAAAGGAUUAUUCUGAACAUAUAUAUUUAAAAACUCAUAUAACAUUGUGAUGUAGCCUGACACUUAUUUUAUAGUUGAGGUAUAAUGUUUCUGGAGAAAAGCAUGCUAAAUACUCAUUGUGCCAAAUGAAUAGGUAUAUAUUAUGCCAAGUUUACAUUAGGUGUUGGGAACACAAUGGUGAGCAAAAUAAUCAUUAUUUUUGUCCUCCCAGCAACCGACAGCUUACUGGAAAGGACUUUAAAUAAACACAAAAACAAUUAUAUAAUUGGAACUCAUGAUACAUACAUGGAAAAGACCAAGUUUCUCUGAAAUGAUAUAAUGAGGAUGCAGUGGUCAGGGGAGGCUUGUGUGGGAGAGUAAUUUAUAAAUUAACACCUGAAGGGUGGUUGGGGUCAUCCAGGUGGGGAGUCCCAUGUGUGAUGGCCCAGGAAGAGCUUGGGUUUUGGAAACUGAAAAACUGCCAGUGUUACUGAGAACAGAGAGUGAGGGUAAACAGCAGCUGGAAAUGAGGUUCCUGAGAUCUAGGUUUGGGUUUGAUUAUGCCAGACCUAUUACAUGAUGCUGUGGGCUUUGGUUUUUAUCCUAAGUGCAAUGAGGAUCUACUGAAGAGUUGUUGUUUUCCUUCUUCAAAAAUUAAGGAGAAAUUUACACAAUAUAAAAUGAACCACUCUAAAGUGAACAAUUCAGUAGCAUUUACUGCAUCAACAAGGAUGUGCAAGUAUCUUCUGUAUCUGUUCUAAUACAUUUUUCAUCUUCCCAAAAUGAAGCUUCGUACCUAUUAAAGUCACUGAAGGAUUUUAAAGGAAGUGAUAUAGUCUAAUUUGUAGCACAUGAAAUCUUUCUGGAAAUAUUUUGGAGAAGGGAGUGAAGAGGUCAAGACUAGAGGCAAGAGAAUCAAGCUUCAGAUUAUUGUCAACUCCAAGAAUAGAUGGUGGUAGCUUUUAGGAAUAGUGGUUAUAGAUAUGGGGAUGAGGGGAGUGAUCCAAUACUGAGUUAUACAAUCAGAUUUGAUUAUCUGUAAGUGACUAAGUAACCUUGUAGUUAUCUAUAUCACUGAUCUAUACCCUUUUUAGGUCUAUCUAGGAUGCUUGUUAAAAGUAUAGCUGAUUGAGCCAACUCAAGCUACUGAUGCAGAAGGACUGAACAUGGUCCCUGAAGAAUUCUCAUUGGAGCUGAGGCUCCUGCUGGCUGGUGCAUACUGCCUGUGUUGUGGUGUCUGCCAGUGGACAGCUGACUAAGAGCCAUGGGGGAAAGUACAGAGCUUUGGCAAGUGCCCAGCAGUAUAUGGCAGACCCUGCUCACUGUAAGUGCUUUGGUGGGAGCUCUGAGUGCAUUCUUUCCCACUGAUGCUUUAAUGAACCCAUUACAGAAUAUUUAUUAUAGUAUCUCUUUAAUUACCUUUAUUGAUGCCCAUGGCCAAUUGCACUGAUAUUUAGAAACUUUCUUUUAAUGUGCAAUCUAAACUUUUCUCUCCUUGGCUUGAGGCAGUUGCUGCCUGCCCUAUUUGGCAGUUGCUGGGAGUAACUGUGAGCCGUGGUGAUGUUAUUGGCUGAGGAGUAAAACAGAAGCCGAAUAAAGUUUGGCUUUUUGCAUACUUCAGGGCAGAGCUUCUGGUCCCAGGGUUAAAAACAACACAGAACCAGUAACUGAACAUGCCACUGAAUAGUGCAUCCACGAAUGGCCUUCGGUGCCCAGUGGGGCAUCUAUGUCUCAGUGUUGAAGAUGCUGCUGCAGACUUCCAGUUCUCCAGAUUUGUGCCCAUGUCUCUUUAGUCUUAAAAUCUUAGUGUGAAAUAUUUAGUACCCUAGGAAAGCUAAAUUAAUGGUGAGUCAGAGUAAUUAAGGCAAAGUAAAUAAUCUCCAAGGUUCUCAUUCCCCGUGAAACUAAUUUCAUAUCUUAUCCUUCAUGUGUUAAAAAUAGUUCUCUGCUAAUUUAAGAUGCCCAUGCUCUGUGUUGGUGAAGUGCACUUCAGUUCUAUUGAAAGGAUGCAGAUUAGAGAGUUAUUUUCAAUUGGGCACUUUUUUUUAAGGGAGAGAGAGAGAGACAUUCAUUUUGGCACCACAAGAGCGUGAAUCUCUCUGGGUGAGCUGAGAGUUGGAUACAGCUGCAACUGGGUGGAUGAUGGGCCAACUAGCUUAUGAUAACUUGCAGCUGGG
ensembl:lncRNA